CCGUGCCGAAGUUAACACAUUAAGUGCCCCGCCUGGGGAGUACGGCCGCAAGGUUAAAACUCAAAGGAAUUGACGGGGGCCCGCACAAGCGGCGGAGCAUGUUGCUUAAUUCGAGGCAACGCGAAGAACCUUACCUGGGUUUGACAUGUAGGGAAAAGCCAUAGAGAUAUGGUGUCCUUCGGGGCCCUACACAGGUGGUGCAUGGCUGUCGUCAGCACGUGUCGUGAGAUGUUGGGUUAAGUCCCGCAACGAGCGCAACCCUCGUCCUAUGUUGCCAGCGGGUCAUGCCGGGGACUCAUAGGAGACUGCCGGGGUCAACUCGGAGGAAGGUGGGGAUGACGUCAAGUCAUCAUGCCCCUUACGUCCAGG
rnacentral:rRNA from 1 species